CUGAGUAGGUGUGGGAGGCAACAAUUAAUGUUUCUCUCUCCCUCUCCCUCUAAAGACCAAUAAAACAUAUUUUUAAAAAUACAUAAUAAAAAUAAAGGAGGGGGGAGAAAUUAGGCUUCCCUCCCAUGAGUUUUGUGAUGACAGCAAAAAGUGAGGAACAUGGAGCACCUGGCACAUUGGAACUGUUGAAGUCGCAUACCUUGGAGAUAUUUCAGUUCCAGACUCUGCAAUAAAAAAGUAUGUAUGGGGAAAAAAAGAUAAUAAUAAUGGCCACUGCUCUACCCUUCAGGACCAGCAGGUGUACAAGAGUUGUUGGCUGGGUGCUGGUGUGCCUCUCUGAGGAGGGUGAGAAGACGUUCAGGAAAUUGGAUUUGCCUGAGCACAUCGACUGCUUCUGGAUGUGGCCAGGAAGGCAAACACGACUAUGUCAGACUCCUCUUUUCUAUGCAAGAAAAAUUUAAAAGUAAAGAUCAUGAACCAGGCCAGUCUUACACCCUGUGGGUGGAGAAUCUCCUUGGCCAGAUAUUGAGUGGAGGGAGAAGGUAGAAGAGAAGGUGGACCAGAAGAGUGAGUUCUGAGCUGCACCAUGGUUGUCCAUGAGACAGUGUCCUCCAUGGUCACAGGAAUCACAGAGUUACCUCAGCCAUUCCAGCAAGGCAAGGUGUGUGGAGCCAAGAAAGGGCAUCACCACCCCUCCCCCAUCUCUCUUAGUCAGCCCAGUCUGUCUCGGUGGAGUCUCUGUGUGUCUGCUCCAUUCUUCUACUGCUGUUGGCCAAUCUUAUCUUUAUUCUUCAUCACAAAUCCCACAGAGUUCCAAUCUGAUUGGCUUAGCUGAUUUUCCUUUGGGCUUCUGAGUCCUUCAUGCCAGGCCACCCUGUGGCAGGUGGAGCCAACCAACGACCAAGUUGCUUGUCUGAUGGGAGGAGGCCUGGUGUGAGGGUGGGGCUGCUUGAGAGCUUUGGGAACAAUAGACUUGACAGGACUAGGUCUGAUGAGUUCCUUUGAGUGUCAUUCUGUGGGGUUGAGAUGGAAGUCUGGUUCUCUCCAUGCUUGCUUGUCCCAAUCUCCUGCCACAAAUCAAGUUGAAAUAAUGCCUUUAUAUUGCUAUUUAGGGACCAGGAUCCUAUGCAGACAUUAAAAUGAAGAUCAAGAAAACACAGGAGCCUUCUAAGUACAAAAAGAUGCCCCAAGCAUCCAGAGAGACCCCACUCCUUGUGCAGAUGAAAGUGCUCAGUAGAGGGUCUGGAGGAAGCCAUGGAGGAAUUUGAGAGAACCCCAGGUCUUUUCCCAACUCCUGAAAGAUGGAAAGGGGUGGAAGAAGGAAGUGUCAAGUGUCAAGUGUCCCUCUACCUAAAAUGUCGGUCUCACCUGCCAGGUAGGGCUUGAAAGUCCCAGCAUCACUUCUUUUAGGUGAGGCCUAGAAAGCCUAAUUAUUUUAAUGCUAGGAAAUUACAUGAAGCAAGGAUCUGCUUACCCAGCUAGUAUUUUAGAGAACAUGGUCCUAGGAAACAGAAGACAUCGGACAGAGUUGGAUGAUGAAAGAACAGGUGUGGCAGGAUCCUUGAGAGGGUCUGACCAGGUGCCUGAGGAACCAAGGCCAUGCAGAGAAGGAGGGGACUCCUUGGAGGUGGAGGGACAAUGAAAUCACCUUGACUAACUCUCUGUAAAAUUGUUUAACAUUUGUUGACUCACAAAGACUAUCAUGAAUCAUUCUCUCACAAUGUUCUUUUAACUCUCAACCUUUUCCCAUAUUUAUUUACUAUUUUAAAAUGCUUACUUGUGUUUGGAAAUACAAUUAGCAGUUUCACAGUCAUCAUUAAUGUGGCAUUUUACUCUUACAAUACUAAAUAUACAUAUAUAGUAUUUUAACAUAUGAAGCAUAAGGAGAUUUCUAUUUCAAGGUCCGGGUAUACAUUUAUAGCAAGUAUCAUCUAUUAACAAUAAAUCUAAGUGGCGUGCCCUGUGCAAACCACUAGAGUUGAUGUGCUGAUUCAAUACAAUGGUAACCUAUAUAAUCAAGCCUGUAGACCAGGCACAAGCUCAGGAGUUCUAUAAAUGAUGACAAAGUACACAUUCAGCGAUUUAGACUUCCAGAAGUUGAGAGUGGAGGCCAAUUCACAGAUUUGGGGUUGAAUAUCAAGGUCAAAGCCAAACAUUGGUGCAUUUUAUGUACAUCCACAUAAAGAUACAGAUAUGUUUGUUUGUCCACCUCUAUCUGCCUCAGGGAAGGGGAACCUGGGGCACAAGAACCAAGAACGAGAGACUCACUUGUCACUGGAUUUCUUUUUUGUACUGUUUGAUUUUUUUUUAACCCGAUGCAUGCAUUCUUUCUAAAUACCCACUAUGCUCAUUAAAGAAAUGUAUUAAAAAUAUAUUGAAGAAA